rnacentral:SRP_RNA from 1 species
GCGUCCCGGUAACGGGACCGUGGGUUCGAAUCCCACCCUCUCCGCCAUACUAGUGUGUUCGACCUCCGGCCGGUCUCGUAAGAAUGUGGCGGCGGAGUCCGCCGUCGAUGGUGAUAGGGGCCGGGCCCUGUGCAACAGAACUCUGUGAACCCCGCCAGGUCCGGAAGGAAGCAACGGUAAGCGGUCCGUUCUGUGUGCCGCAGGAUCACCUGGCCCCGCUAAUUCUGGGACGU